UGCGUUUUGUUGCCUAGAAUAUUGUGUGUGUGUGCGUGUGUUUACGUCAUCCUUAGUUCCCGCAAGAGAGAGAACUUCUUUUGUGAGCUAGGUAGCUGGUUGUUUGUUUCCCCCUUGUAAGGGGUGUUAGGCUUUGGGCUAUGGGGAAGUGUGUCGCCUUUCCCCCUUGGAGUUUUGCAGUAACUAUUGUUUUUGAGGCGUAGGGAGUUGAGGUUACGCUGGGCGCCGAGAUGGAGUGUGAGCGUGAAGGUGUGUUAUGGAAACUUAUUGGCGUGAUAGUAGAUUAAUUAUUAAUUUAAUGAUGA
rnacentral:sRNA from 1 species